AUAUCAUGGAGUGGGAAAAUUAUUGAAACCAUUUUCAGCUAAUAGUUACAUGUACUGAUUUCCGUUAUCACAGCACCUACUUGAAAUUGAAUAUCUACGUUUUAGACAUAUAGAACAAAAAUAAAGAGAAAGAUGAAGAUAUUAUUUGUUUGCUUCUUGUUUGGUCUAGGGACUGCAGGUGUCCUGGGUAGAAGAUGCGUUGUUUAUACGGCGGGUGAAACUAUUCCAGCCAUUCCAAAAGGUUCUGGUAGAACGUGUCAUUCCGUGCCUAAUGACAACAAUAGGUACUGCAUUAAAUGGGAUUGUCCCCCAGCUGACUGUUCUAAUCCCAUUAAACCAAAUAAGGGUUGUCCUUACUGUAAAGGUACAUGUGUGGUUAAUGGUAGCGUGUAUCAAGAAGGGGUGUCAUUCAAAUGUCCUGAUGGGUGUAAUACAUGCACAUGUAGCACUUCGACGCUGAUGGGAUGCGGAACACCACCACCAGAGUGCAGUAACUAAUAACAUUAUACCAUAAGAUACAUUAUGGUAAAAUAAAACAUGAAGUAUUCCA